rnacentral:rRNA from 1 species
CCCCACUCCUACGGGAGGCAGCAGUGGGGAAUAUUGCCCAAUGGGGGCAACCCUGAUGCCCACCCGCCGCCUGAGUGAAGAAGUACCUCCGUCUGUAACCCUCUCUCAGCAGCGCAGAAAAAAGACGGUACCUGACUCACAAGCCCCGGCUAACCACGUGCCACAAGCCGACGUAAUACGCAGGGGGACAGCGUCAUCCGGAUUUACUGGGUGUAAAGGGAGCGUAGACGGCAAUACAAGUCCGAAGUGAAAUACCCGGGCUCAACCUGGGAACUGCUUUGGAAACUGUAUGGCUGGAGUGCUGGAGAGGUAAGCGGAAUUCCUAGUGUAGCGGUGAAAUGCGUAGAUAUUAGGAGGAACACCAGUGGCGAAGGCGGCUUACUGGACAGUAACUGACGUUGAGGCUCGAAAGCGUGGGGAGCAAACAGGAUUAGAUACCCCGGUAC